CCGUGGCCCGGAACGCGCCCUUGGCACCUCCAAGCGCCGCCAGCGACGAAGCACGGGAGCCUUCGCCAGUGUGCUUGAAGGACUCGCUCUCUCAGGUCUUAGACCGAUGGUUCACAACGAAGUCCCUGGAGCGCAUUGUGCCCGGGUGGCCUCGGGCUCAGGGGCGGUUUGAGACGGGUGGCACGAGCUUGGUGGGGCGUAUAGGUGCCCCUCUCCUGGCCUGCCUGUUCGCUGUAGCAGGGUUUCGUACUAACCGGGUUUCUGCUGUUUCUCUCCCAGGAUCGCCACGACGCGAGCAGUAAUGGGAACCCUCGCAUCCCUCACCUCUCAUCUGCGGGACAGCAUCUCUACAGUCCCGCGCCGCCUCUCUCGCACACCGGGGUUGCAGAGUACCAGCCGCCUCCUUACUUCCCGCCGCCCUACCAGCAGUUGGCAUACUCGCAAUCCGCCGAUCAUUACUCGCACUUGGGAGAGGCUUACGCUGCCGCCAUCAACCCCUUGCACCAGCCUGCGCCCACCGGCAGCCAGCAACAGGCCUGGCCAGGUCGACAGAGUCAGGAGGGCUCUAGCCUGGCUUCGCACCACGGCCGCUCUGCAGGUCUUAUACCCCAUAUUUCAGGGCUGGAGGGGAGCGCGGUGAGUUCCCGGCGGGAAGCCUACCGCCGUUCCGAUCUGCUGCUGCCUCACGCGCACGCCCUGGAAGCCGCCGGCCUGGCUGAGAACCUAGGGCUGCACGAGAUGGCUCACCCCAUUGAGGAGGUGCAGAACGUGGACGACCCGCAUCUGCUUCUACACGAUCAGACUGUCAUUCGCA
rnacentral:lncRNA from 1 species